GACGAACGCUGUCGGCGUGCUUAACACAUGCAAGUCGAACGGAAAGGCCCUGCUUUUGUGGGGUGCUCGAGUGGCGAACGGGUGAGUAACACGUGAGUAACCUGCCCUUGACUUUGGGAUAACUUCAGGAAACUGGGGCUAAUACCGGAUAGGAGCUCCUGCUGCAUGGUGGGGGUUGGAAAGUUUCGGCGGUUGGGGAUGGACUCGCGGCUUAUCAGCUUGUUGGUGGGGUAGUGGCUUACCAAGGCUUUGACGGGUAGCCGGCCUGAGAGGGUGACCGGCCACAUUGGGACUGAGAUACGGCCCAGACUCCUACGGGAGGCAGCAGUGGGGAAUAUUGCACAAUGGGCGGAAGCCUGAUGCAGCAACGCCGCGUGCGGGAUGACGGCCUUCGGGUUGUAAACCGCUUUCGCCUGUGACGAAGCGUGAGUGACGGUAAUGGGUAAAGAAGCACCGGCUAACUACGUGCCAGCAGCCGCGGUGAUACGUAGGGUGCGAGCGUUGUCCGGAUUUAUUGGGCGUAAAGGGCUCGUAGGUGGUUGAUCGCGUCGGAAGUGUAAUCUUGGGGCUUAACCCUGAGCGUGCUUUCGAUACGGGUUGACUUGAGGAAGGUAGGGGAGAAUGGAAUUCCUGGUGGAGCGGUGGAAUGCGCAGAUAUCAGGAGGAACACCAGUGGCGAAGGCGGUUCUCUGGGCCUUUCCUGACGCUGAGGAGCGAAAGCGUGGGGAGCGAACAGGCUUAGAUACCCUGGUAGUCCACGCUGUAAACGGUGGGUACUAGGUGUGGGGUCCAUUCCACGGGUUCCGUGCCGUAGCUAACGCUUUAAGUACCCCGCCUGGGGAGUACGGCCGCAAGGCUAAAACUCAAAGGAAUUGACGGGGCCCCGCACAAGCGGCGGAGCAUGCGGAUUAAUUCGAUGCAACGCGUAGAACCUUACCUGGGUUUGACAUGGAUCGGGAGUGCCCAGAGAUGGGUGUGCCUCUUUUGGGGUCGGUUCACAGGUGGUGCAUGCCUGUCGUCAGCUCGUGUCGUGAGAUGUUGGGUUAAGUCCCGCAACGAGCGCAACCCUUGUUCACUGUUGCCAGCACGUUAUGGUGGGGACUCAGUGGAGACCGCCGGGGUCAACUCGGAGGAAGGUGGGGAUGACGUCAAGUCAUCAUGCCCCUUAUGUCCAGGGCUUCACGCAUGCUACAAUGGCUGGUACAGAGAGUGGCGAGCCUGUGAGGGUGAGCGAAUCUCGGAAAGCCGGUCUCAGUUCGGAUUGGGGUCUGCAACUCGACCUCAUGAAGUCGGAGUCGCUAGUAAUCGCAGAUCAGCAACGCUGCGGUGAAUACGUUCCCGGGGCU
rnacentral:rRNA from 1 species